rnacentral:ncRNA from 1 species
UGACUGCAGCACAUGUUUUAAUUCAAGAACAGUUAUAGUUAGGACAUAUAAGGCCAUCCACUUAUCCUUGGAAGACACCCAUAUUUGUCAUUAAAAAAAAAAGACUGGAAAAUGGUGGUUGCUGCACGAUUUACGGGCUAUUAAUGCUCAAAUGCAACUCAUGGGAUCUAUUCAGAGAGGGUUGCCUUUGCUUUCUACUAUCCCUAAAAAUUGGCCAGUGAUAUGUAUAGAUAUUAAGGAUUGUUUCUUUUCCAUCCCAUUGCAUCCUCUAGAUUCAGAACGUUUUGCUUUCAC